GAUGAACGCUGGCGGCGUGCCUAAUACAUGCAAGUCGAGCGAACGGACGAGAAGCUUGCUGUGCUGAUGUUAGCGGCGGACGGGUGAGUAACACGUGGAUAACCUACCUAUAAGACUGGGAUAACUACGGGAAACCGGAGCUAAUACCGGAUAAGAUUUUGAACCGCAUGGUUCAAAAGUGAAAGACGGUCUUGCUGUCACUGAUAGAUGGAUCCGCGCUGCAGUAGCUAGUUGGUAAGGUAACGGCUUACCAAGGCAACGAUGCAUAGCCGACCUGAGAGGCUGCUCGGCCACACUGGAACUGAGACACGGUCCAGCCUCCUACGGGCGGCAGCAGUAGCGAAUCCUCCGGCAUGGGCGAAAGCCUGACGGAGCAACGCCGCGUGAGUGAUGGAGGUCUUCGGAUCGUACAGCUCUCUUAUUAGGGAAGAACAUAUGUGUAAGUAACUGUGCACAUCUUGACGGUACCUAAUCAGAAAGCCCCGGCUCCCUACGUG
rnacentral:rRNA from 1 species